rnacentral:misc_RNA from 1 species
GGAAUCAGCAAAUUUUUGAACGCAAAUUGCGCUUCCUGGCGUCCCGGGAAGUAUGCCUGUUUGAGGGUCAGUAUUAAUAAAAAAUCGGUUUAGUUACAAAUUGUGACGUUUCCGGAGUUUGGGCUAUCUUAACAUUUUUGGUUAAGAGGCUUAAAAUUGACCUUUUUUGCGCAUUUUUAAACGUACAUAAAUUUUUUUUAUUCGUCUAUUCUUAAUGCCAAAAUCUUUUAAAUUCCAAUCACACGUUGUGCUUCCUUGCCAU